rnacentral:rRNA from 1 species
GAUGAACGCUGGCGGCGUGCCUAAUACAUGCAAGUCGAACGGAAAGGCCCUGCUUUUGCGGGGUGCUCGAGUGGCGAACGGGUGAGUAACACGUGAGUAACCCGUCCUUGACUUUGGGAUAUCUCCAGGAAACUGGGGCUAAUAUCGGAUAGGAGCUCCUGAUCCAUGGUGGGGGUUGGUAAGUUUCGGCGGUUGGGGCUGGACUCGCGGCUUAUCAGCCUGUUGGUGGGGUAGUGGCUUACCAAGCCUUUGACGGGUAGCCGGCCUGAGAGGGUGACCGGACACAUGGCGACUGAGAUACGGCCCAGACUCCUACGGGAGGCAGCAGUGGGAAAUAUGGCACAAUGAGCGGAAGCCUGAUACAGCAACGCCGCGUGCGGGAAGACCUCCUUCUGGUGGUGAACCACUUUCGCAUGAGACGUAGCGUGAGUGACGGUAAUGGGUAAAGAAGCACCGGCUAACUACGUG